ensembl:lncRNA
CUUUUAUCUGCACCCCAGCAGAUGAAGCAAACAUGUAUAACGAAGUGAAUUUUAUGUGCAAUACUUGUAUGUCUUCUGGAACAACGCCUAUGAGCAUGAUGGAGCUUGGACUCCUAGGAUCACAGUGAUGAUGACAACAUGCUUCAAUUUAAAGUGAUUUAUGCUUGCAGAGGACAAAAGACAGAGGAACAGCAGUAUGAACUGUACAAUUCUUUUCUGGGAUUUUAAAUUCAUUUGGCUGAUGGACAGGGAAACCUUACUAUCCUUUCGGUGAAGAAAAUUCUGUCGUUUGUCAGUGUUCAAGAUGCUGAUUCAGUUGCUGUCUCUGAAUGCCUCCUUCACUCCAGAACACCCUUGCAAGGGAGGGAUGGCCGGACAGCCUGCCCCCUACCUCCAGCUGAUGGAGUGAGUUGUGGGAAUACAACAAAAUCUAUUCAGAGCAGAAGCUGUGGAGCAAGAUAAACAGCAUGAGAACCAAGGACACCUUUAGAAGAAGAGAAAAAGCAAAAGAAAUGACUCAUGGCUCUGAUUGGAUAAGCACCCG